rnacentral:rRNA from 1 species
CACGCCCUAAACGAUGUCAACUGGUUGUUGGGAUUUUCGGAUCUUAGUAACGAAGCUAACGCGAGAAGUUGACCGCCUGGGGAGUACGGCCGCAAGGUUAAAACUCAAAGGAAUUGACGGGGGCCCGCACAAGCGGUGGAUGAUGUGGAUUAAUUCGAUGCAACGCGAAAAACCUUACCUGGUCUUGACAUGUACGGAAUCUCUGAGAGAUCGGAGAGUGCCUUCGGGAGCCGUAACACAGGUGC